UGGAAAUUUUCCAUUCCCCCUAGCCGCCACCAGCCCCUUCUCUUACUCUCCACGCCAUCCUCCUCUCCUCCCAUCCAUGGAGCAGCAGCCCUCCCUCCAUGGCGCCCACCCUCUCCAAUGGUGGUGCUCACCCCUCCCUCCCUCCUUCUCCAUUGCUGCAGCUCCCCUUCGUGGUGGCUGUCCCUCCCCCUACAGCCACCCCUCCUCUGCUCUCCAUGGACGCCAGCCAUGGCAGCCCCCUAUGCUGUUGCGUGAUGGCUGGAGGUGGGAGGUAGAAGAAGACUCCAUGAGGCUAUGACAGGUGAUGAAAUAGGUGAGUUCUGAUGUUUCUGUGCCAAGGUGGUUCCCAAGCAGGAGGAUGAACACUAAAACUUAUUAGGGGAGGGUGUUUUGCCUCCCGGUAAUGUAAUAAUAAGUUCCACACUCAAACACCCGGUUAUGUAAUAACUACUCUUUCUAUAUUUUUGUAUGAAUGUAAAUUAUAUUAUUGUAAUCCUUUCCGCUCAUCAUC